rnacentral:rRNA from 1 species
GACGAACGCUGGCGGCGUGCUUAACACAUGCAAGUCGAACGGAAAGGCCCUGCUUUUGUGGGGUGCUCGAGUGGCGAACGGGUGAGUAACACGUGAGUAACCUGCCCUUGACUUUAGGAUAACUUCAGGAAACUGGGGCUAAUACCGGAUAGGAGCUCCUGCUGCAUGGUGGGGGUUGGAAAGUUUCGGCGGUUGGGGAUGGACUCGCGGCUUAUCAGCUUGUUGGUGGGGUAGUGGCUUACCAAGGCUUUGACGGGUAGCCGGCCUGAGAGGGUGACCGGCCACAGUGGGACUGAGAUACGGCCCAGACUCCUACGGGAGGCAGCAGUGGGGAAUAGUGCACAAUGGGCGGAAGCCUGAUGCAGCAACGCCGCGUGCGGGAUGACGGCCUUCGGGUUGUAAACCGCUUUCGCCUGUGACGAAGCGUGAGGGACGGUAAUGGGUAAAGAAGCACCGGCUAACUACGU